rnacentral:rRNA from 1 species
CCUACGGGAGGCAGCAGUGGGGAAUCUUGCGCAAUGGGCGAAAGCCUGACGCAGCAACGCCGCGUGCGGGAAGAAGGCUUUCGGGCUGUAAACCGCUUUCAGCAGGAACGAAAAUGACGGUACCUGCAGAAGAAGGAGCGGCCAACUAUGUGCCAGCAGCCGCGGUGAUACAUAGGCUUCAAGCGUUGUCCGGAUUUAUUGGGCGUAAAGAGUUCGUAGGCGGUCAAGUAAGUCGGGUGUGAAAAUUCUGGGCUCAACCCAGAGACGCCACCCGAUACUGCUUAACUUGAGUUCGAUAGGGGAGUGGGGAAUUCCUAGUGUAGCGGUGAAAUGCGCAGAUAUUAGGAGGAACACCGGUGGCGAAGGCGCCACUCUGGAUCGAUACUGACGCUGAGGAACGAAAGCAUGGGUAGCAAACAGGAUUAGAUACCCUGGUAGUCCAUGCCGUAAACGGUGGGCACUAGGUGUGGGUUUCUAUUAACGAAAUCCGCGCCGUCGCUAACGCAUUAAGUGCCCCGCCUGGGGAGUACGGUCGCAAAGACUAAAACUCAAAGGAAUUGAACGG